rnacentral:lncRNA from 1 species
UCUCUGGCUAUACUUCAGGCUCUAUUAUUCUGAGCUUAAAGUCUUCUCUGCUUUUCCUAAGCCAUUCACCUUCAAAUACAUAUGUUUAAAUGUAAGCACACCCUAGCCUUCAAAUAAAUUCUAUAUCUAGAACACACUUCUUCCUGGUCUCUGCAUGCUGGCUCCUUCUUGUUAUUUAGAUUACAGUUUAAAUGGCACCUGGAUUUGUUCCUCUGUCCAAGCACUGUAACAUUUAAAAUCUCUGUAUAUUACUUAUCAUUUAUUUCCUUAACUUGCUAUUGAUUCAAUUAUUGCUGAUUUAUUUCACAUCCCCCAGGCUGUAAAUAUAAAAACGGAUAUGUUGUCUGUUUUGAUUUUCACCACAUUUAAAGUGAUAAUCACUUUGCCACUUUGGAGGGAUAUGACAAUCAAUCCAGGGAUGAAUGAAUGAAUGAGCACUUUGUUACCUCUCAUCCCCUAAAAGCGUAGCCAGGUGUUUUUGUGGUAAAAAGGCAAAGCAGAUAUUGCUUUUGUUUAGUAGAAAACGGGCCAAGUGAAACCAGGAAAUGAUAUUUUAAAGUAAAUUAAGAUCGUAGGCCAAGGAGCCAAGGUAGUCCAUAAGGAAAAGCAUUUACGAACAGUCACUAAUGUCUUCCCAUGGCUUUCCUGCGUGUCCCAGUCAGGGGACUGCACACACAAAUGAAGGAAAGCAGGAUGGAGGUAAGCCAAGCUCUGUAAAAGUACUUCUGGGAUGCACCACGUUCAGGUCUAUGAUUGCCGAGACUCGGAAAACCGAAAAAGGACAGCAAAGGACAAAGGGAAGGACUCCAGUGACCUUCCAUGGACAGACUGACAUCAAGAAAACCUUUACACAAAUGUUUGGGCAUCUUCUACUACAUAAUGAAAGUUUUUUUUUUUUUUUUUUUUAAAUCCUGAAAAUACUCAUGAGAAAGGUAGAGGAAAAUUGACAGUAAUGGAACAAUGUUAAUAGUAUAAUAAUAUCUAAGAAGAUGUAAUUUGAUUCAAUGAUACAUAUGCAUCUUAAUCUUGGUAUUUUUCAGAUGAACUUUUUCCCCCGGUAAGUUGUUCUUUUCUAAGACAUUAUAAAUGAAAUGCUUCACUCAGAACAUUCACAUUCUGUUACAUUAAUAUUUUUCCUUUGAAAGCUUAUCUUGACAAUCUAGCCCUCCCCUUUCCCAAGGUUGCAAAAAAUCCUAUAAAUGUCCUCAAUAAGUCUGUGUCUCCUCUGAAACAAGGAUGGACAGUUAACAUCGGACUUUGGUCAGGAAGGCAGAAAAGGAACUGCCGCCAAGGAUUCAAUUCAUUUCAACUCAAUAAACAUCUACUAUGGACCUGCUAAGCAAAGGAAACUGCUUUUGGAUUAAGGAUGUGUCAGAUAUAAACGGAACCCAAUUCUUACCCCUAGGAAAGCUUGCAGUCUUGUGAG